GGGUCUGUAACUCAGUUGGUAGAGUAGCGGGCUUUUAACCUGUAAGUCGUCGGUUCGAACCCGACCAGACCCA
rnacentral:tRNA from 2 species